UUCGGUGGCGAUAGCGAAGGGGCCACACCCGUUCCCAUCCCGAACACGGAAGUUAAGCCCUUCAGCGCCGAUGGUACUGCUCGGGAAGCUGAGUGGGAGAGUAGGACGCCGCCGGAU
rfam:Deltaproteobacteria bacterium SG8_13 WOR_8-12_5632, whole genome shotgun sequence.